UAAUAGUAAUUGAAUUAAAAGCGCAAUACGGACUAGUGCAAUAUCCCAAUUACAGGUCCUCGCAAAAUUCGUUCUAUAAUCAUUUUUUUUAUUUUAAUAUUUUUCAAUGAAAAUGAGCAUGAUACAAAAUGAAUUGUUCCCUCCAAUAUCAUGAAUUAUAUUGCUAUAGCAAUGUCAGUCA